rnacentral:rRNA from 1 species
AAAGGUGGGGGGUUCAACACGGAUUUAGAUCCCUUGUUAGUCCCCCCCGUAAACGAAUGUGCCCUAGGUGCGUGGGCCGUUUGAUUCAAGCGCCGGAAUCGAACGUGGUAAGUGCACCGCCCUGGGGGGUUUUCUUCGCAAGGGUGAAACUUCAAAGGAAUUGACGGGGGGCCCGCACAAACCGGUGGAGCAUGUGGUUUUAUUUGGACGGUACGCGAAGGAACCUUUCCCUGGGUUUGACAUACAGGGGGGAUGUGGCAGCGAUGUCACAGACUGGAAACAGUACCCUGCACAGGUGCUGCAUGGCUGUCGUCAGCUCGUGCCGUGAGGUGUGGGUUAAGUCCCGCAACGAGCCCAACCCAAACUGCCAGUUACUAACAGGUAAAGCAGAGGACUCUGGCGGAACUGCCGGUGACAAACCGGAGGAAGGUGGGGAUGACGUCAAGUCAUCAUGGCCCCUAUGUCCAGGGCUACGCACGUGCUACAAUGGGCGAUACAGAGUGACGCGAAGCCGCGAGGUGGAGCAAAUCGCAGAAAAUCGCUCUCAGUUCGGAUUGGAGUCUGAAACCCGACUCCAUGAAGGUGGAAUCGCUAGUAAUCGCGCAUCAGCAUGGCCCGGUUUUUACGUUCCCGGGCCUUGUACACACCGCCCGUCACACCACCCGAGUGGGGGGUACCCGAAGCCGUGAGGCCUUCCUCAAAGGGGGGCGACGUCGAAGGUACGUCUGGCACUGUUCGACACAAGGUAGCCAGUCAUUAACCGCGCCGCCAAAGCGCCCGGAGUCUGGCACCCAUCCCCU